GACGGAGGGCGCAAGCGUUGUUCGGAAUUACUGGGCGUAAAGCGCGGGCAGGUGGCCCGUUAAGUCUGCGGUGAAAUCCCGGGCUCAACUCCGGAUAUGCCGCGGAUACUGGCGGGCUAGAGACUGGUAGAGGCGAGUGGAAUUCCAGGUGUAGCGGUGGAAUGCGUAGAUAUCUGGAAGAACACCGGUGGCGAAGGCGGCUCGCUGGGCCAGUUCUGACACUCAUCCGCGAAAGCGUGGGGAGCAAACAGG
rnacentral:rRNA from 1 species